UACAGAGGUCUCAAGCGUUGUUCGGAAUCACUGGGCGUAAAGGGUGCGUAGGCUGCAUGGUAAGUCAGAGGUGAAAUCCCGGAGCUCAACUUCGGAAUUGCCUCCGAUACUGCCGUGCUUGAGGACUGGAGAGGAGUCUGGAAUUCACAGUGGAGCAGUGAAAUGCGUAGAUAUUGUGAGGAACACUAGUGGCGAAGGAGAGACUCUGGACAGUUCCUGACGCUGAGGCACGAAGGCCAGGGGAGCAAACGGG
rnacentral:rRNA from 1 species